CCUACGGGAGGCAGCAGUAGGGAAUCUUCCACAAUGGACGAAAGUCUGAUGGAGCAACGCCGCGUGAGUGAAGAAGGGUUUCGGCUCGUAAAGCUCUGUUGGGAGUGAAGAAAGAUAGAGGUAGUAACUUGCCUUUAUUUGACGGUAAUUACUUAGAAAGUCACGGCUAACUACGUGCCAGCAGCCGCGGUAAUACGUAGGUGGCAAGCGUUGUCCGGAUGUAUUGGGCGUAAAGCGAGUGCAGGCGGUUAAAUAAGUCUGAUGUGAAAGCCUUCGGCUCAACCGGAGAAUUGCAUCAGAAACUGUUGAACUUGAGUGCAGAAGAGGAGAGCGGAACUCCAUGUGUAGCGGUGGAAUGCGUAGAUAUAUGGAAGAACACCAGUGGCGAAGGCGGCUUUCUGGUCUGCAACUGACGCUGAGGCGCGAAAGCAUGGGUAGCGAACAGGAUUAGAUACCCGUGUAGUC
rnacentral:rRNA from 1 species